GAAAUCUACAUGGUGUAGCUAACAUUAGACCUUAUUUUUAUCUAGUAGCUAUACUUUAAUUAAUUUACACCUCAUAGCUAAAAGGGGUAUAUCAAUUACACUCCAUAACUAAAACAUACAAAAUAGAUUAAAAUGAAAAAGCAACCCUUGUAUCCACAUUUUUCUCUCUCCUCCCUCCCUUCUCCCUCCCUUCUGCUCUCUCUUCCAUGAAAAAUGUUCAAUGUUCUUCAAGUCCACUAUGUCUUUUCCGAUGCAGAUGGACCUCCCACUACGCUUAGCGAAACUGACAUUGACCGUAUGGCAUUUUUACAAGCUAACAUCACACGAGAUAACACCAAGUUCAUAAAUGGGACAAUAGUUGGUGAGAGGAAUGUUUUCCAGGUGAGAUUAGCUUUUGUUUUCCUUUGGUCUUCUCUCAUUGAGUUUCUUUCGCAAAUCGAUGCCGGACUUGCAAAUCUCAUUCAUCAGAUCUGGCCGCCGGUGGCUUUCCCGGUCAGAUUCCGAUGCCGGAUUUGAAAAAUCGUGCAACGACGUAGAUACAAAAAUCAACGAACACACAGAUCUGAGCUUUUUAUUUU